rnacentral:rRNA from 1 species
CGAGCACGCGCGUGUGGCAUAUCAAUAAGCGGAGGAAAAGAAACUAACAAGGAUUCCCCUUAGUAACGGCGAGUGAAGCGGGAAGAGCUCAAAUUUGAAAUCUUCAAGGGUUUCCCUUGACGAAUUGUAGUUUAAAGAAGUGUUUUCUGUUAGAGAGAUGGUAAAAGUUCUUUGGAAUAGGACAUCAUAGAGGGUGAGAAUCCCGUAUUUGAUCACUUUCUACUAACGUUGUGAUACACUUUCAAAGAGUCGGAUUGUUUGGGAAUGCAGUCCAAAAUGGGUGGUAAAUUUCAUCUAAAGCUAAAUAUUGGCGAGAGACCGAUAGCGAACAAGUACCGUGAGGGAAAGAUGAAAAGAACUUUGAAAAAGAGAGUUAAACAGUACGUGAAAUUGUCAAAAGGGAAGCGUUUGACACCAGUGCUGUUUUUCCGAAAAUCAAUUACGAAUGUUUUGUUUUUGAGAAGUUAUGACUUCAUCGGCUUGCUCCUUUCUUUACGAAACUUUCUUAAUGCACUUUUCGGUUAACAAGUCAACAUCAAUUUCUUUUGUUGUAAAAGGGUAUGAGGAAGGUGGCUUUCUUUUCGGAGAAAGUGUUUAUAGCCUUGUACCUCUGCAAUCGGAGAGAUUGAGGUCUGCAGCGUAGAUCCUUCGAGGUUAGAUACGUUUGUGCUAAGUUAUAGCUUUUCAUAGACAACUUGUUGACUAUGUUUAGUCUUGUAGCUUACUCGCUGACGCUAUUUUACCUACGCUUAGGAUGUUGAUGUGAUACUGCGAGCA